CCUACGGGAGGCAGCAGUGGGGAAUAUUGCACAAUGGGGGAAACCCUGAUGCAGCGACGCCGCGUGAGUGAUGACGGCUUUCGGGAUGUAAAGCUCUGUCUUCAGGGACGAUAAUGACCGUUCCCGAGCUGGAAACCACGGCUAACUACGUGCCAGCAGGCCGGGUAAUACGUAGGUGGCGAGCGGUGUUCGGAUUUACUGGGCGUAAAGGGAGCGGUGGCGGACUUUUAAGUGAGAUGUGAAAUACUCGGGCUCAACUCCAGGGCUGCAUUUCAAACUGGAGGUCUAGAGUGCAGGAGAGGAGAAUGGAAUUCCUAGUGUAGCGGUGAAAUGCGUAGAGAUUAGGAAGAACACCAGUGGCGAAGGCGAUUCUCUGGACUGUAACUGACGCUGAGGCUCGAAAGCGUGGGGAGCAAACAGGAUUAGAUACCCGGGUAGUC
rnacentral:rRNA from 1 species